AGAUUGAACAUUCCUCUCUCAAUCCCUUCCGCCGUGCACCGAACCGAGAAUCCUCCGCCUCCCUGGCUCCGUACAACGCUAUGAGAAGAAUGAGUAGUCGUGCGAGCCAAUUGUUUAAUCGGGCAGAAUCCAUCGGUUAAUCUGAAAUGGAUUCUGUUGGUAGGAAGAAAUGGAGGGAGGGAGCGCAAGAAACAUGAAGAGUUCGGUGAGUAGGAAGAGUUGGGGAGGGAUUUUGCCGCCAUUGCUGCCGCUUUGGCCUGGCAGAGGAAGGUUAACAGAGCAGAAAGGAGUGGAAAAUAAACAAAUGGAAGGCUCUGUUUGUUCUUUAUUUAUAUUCAAAAAAAUAAAUCUGAAUAUAUUUUAUUGGUUAGAGGAGGAGGGUUGGUCUGGU
rnacentral:lncRNA from 1 species